rnacentral:rRNA from 1 species
UACGUAGGGUGCGAGCGUUGUCCGGAAUUAUUGGGCGUAAAGAGCUCGUAGGCGGCUUGUCGCGUCGGAUGUGAAAGCCCGGGGCUUAACUCCGGGUCUGCAUUCGAUACGGGCAGGCUAGAGUAUGGCAGGGGAGACUGGAAUUCCUGGUGUAGCGGUGAAAUGCGCAGAUAUCAGGAGGAACACCGGUGGCGAAGGCGGGUCUCUGGGCCAAAACUGACGCUGAGGAGCGAAAGCGUGGGGAGCGAACAGG